rnacentral:rRNA from 1 species
AUGGCUCAGGAUGAACGCUAGCUACAGGCUUAACACAUGCAGGUCGAGGGGCAGCAUAUCGAAAGCUUGCUUUGAUGAUGGCGACCGGCGCACGGGUGAGUAACGCGUAUCCAACCUUCCCUAUACUAGAGGAUAGCCCGGCGAAAGUCGGAUUAAUACUCUAUGUUCUUCGUAGAAGACAUCUGAAAUGAAGCAAAGGUUUACCGGUAUAGGAUGGGGAUGCGUCUGAUUAGGUUGUUGGCGGGGUAACGGCCCACCAAGCCUACGAUCAGUAGGGGUUCUGAGAGGAAGGUCCCCCACAUUGGAACUGAGACACGGUCCAAACUCCUACGGGAGGCAGCAGUGAGGAAUAUUGGUCAAUGGACGAGAGUCUGAACCAGCCAAGUAGCGUGCAGGAUGACGGCCCUAUGGGUUGUAAACUGCUUUUAUACAGGGAUAAAGUGCACUACGUGUAGUGUUUUGUAGGUACUGUAUGAAUAAGGACCGGCUAAUUCCGUGCCAGCCGCAGC